GAUCAUGGCUCAGGAUGAACGCUAGCUACAGGCUUAACACAUGCAAGUCGAGGGGCAGCAUUUUAGUUUGCUUGCAAACUAAAGAUGGCGACCGGCGCACGGGUGAGUAACACGUAUCCAACCUGCCGAUAACUCAGGGAUAGCCUUUCGAAAGAAAGAUUAAUACCUGAUGGCAUAGGAUUAUCGCAUGAUAAUCCUAUUAAAGAAUUUCGGUUAUCGAUGGGGAUGCGUCC
rnacentral:rRNA from 1 species